AUGGUCGUCUCUCUCUCCCAAUCUAAAACUCAACAAUUUUAGAUCUCCAAAAAUUAGGAUUUUGUAAAUUGAGACCGAAAUAUAGAUGAUGGAGAUGAUAAGCAAAAUCUGAGCCUUUUAGAUCGUGGGUGUUUCUCUGUGUAGGUUUGUAGGAAUUUUUCAUCCGAGUGUGUUUUAGUCUUGAAGUUAUGAUCUAGAGCGGUUGAUAUUUCGGGGAUGUUUUAAUUUCGGGUUGGUGUUUUGGAAGACAGUUCCAUUCCGGAUUUGGGUUGUUCAUCCGGUGUUUUUCUCGAUGUUGUUUUUGUGCUUCCGUUCUGGUCUUUAUGCUUUAAUGCUUAUGUGUUGUAUUGUUCAGAUUUGGAUGUUUUUAAUGGUUAUGUUAUGUCC
rnacentral:lncRNA from 1 species